CUGGGGGAGCUACACAUGCAGUCGAGCGGUAGCACAGAGAGCUUGCUCUCGGGUGACGAGCGGCGGACGGGUGAGUAAUGUCUGGGAAACUGCCUGAUGGAGGGGGAUAACUACUGGAAACGGUAGCUAAUACCGCAUAACGUCGCAAGACCAAAGUGGGGGACCUUCGGGCCUCAUGCCAUCAGAUGUGCCCAGAUGGGAUUAGCUGGUAGGUGGGGUAACGGCUCACCUAGGCGACGAUCCCUAGCUGGUCUGAGAGGAUGACCAGCCACACUGGAACUGAGACACGGUCCAGACUCCUACGGGAGGCAGCAGUGGGGAAUAUUGCACAAUGGGCGCAAGCCUGAUGCAGCCAUGCCGCGUGUGUGAAGAAGGCCUUCGGGUUGUAAAGCACUUUCAGCGGGGAGGAAGGCGGUGAGGUUAAUAACCUCAUCGAUUGACGUUACCCGCAGAAGAAGCACCGGCUAACUCCGUGCCAGCAGCCGCGGUAAUACGGAGGGUGCAAGCGUUAAUCGGAAUUACUGGGCGUAAAGCGCACGCAGGCGGUCUGUCAAGUCGGAUGUGAAAUCCCCGGGCUCAACCUGGGAACUGCAUUCGAAACUGGCAGGCUAGAGUCUUGUAGAGGGGGGUAGAAUUCCAGGUGUAGCGGUGAAAUGCGUAGAGAUCUGGAGGAAUACCGGUGGCGAAGGCGGCCCCCUGGACAAAGACUGACGCUCAGGUGCGAAAGCGUGGGGAGCAAACAGGAUUAGAUACCCUGGUAGUCCACGCUGUAAACGAUGUCGAUUUGGAGGUUGUGCCCUUGAGGCGUGGCUUCCGGAGCUAACGCGUUAAAUCGACCGCCUGGGGAGUACGGCCGCAAGGUUAAAACUCAAAUGAAUUGACGGGGGCCCGCACAAGCGGUGGAGCAUGUGGUUUAAUUCGAUGCAACGCGAAGAACCUUACCUGGUCUUGACAUCCACAGAACUUUCCAGAGAUGGAUUGGUGCCUUCGGGAACUGUGAGACAGGUGCUGCAUGGCUGUCGUCAGCUCGUGUUGUGAAAUGUUGGGUUAAGUCCCGCAACGAGCGCAACCCUUAUCCUUUGUUGCCAGCGGUUAGGCCGGGAACUCAAAGGAGACUGCCAGUGAUAAACUGGAGGAAGGUGGGGAUGACGUCAAGUCAUCAUGGCCCUUACGACCAGGGCUACACACGUGCUACAAUGGCAUAUACAAAGAGAAGCGACCUCGCGAGAGCAAGCGGACCUCAUAAAGUAUGUCGUAGUCCGGAUUGGAGUCUGCAACUCGACUCCAUGAAGUCGGAAUCGCUAGUAAUCGUAGAUCAGAAUGCUACGGUGAAUACGUUCCCGGGCCUUGUACACACCGCCCGUCACACCAUGGGAGUGGGUUGCAAAAGAAGUAGGUAGCUUAACCUUCGGGAGGGCGCUACCACUUGAUUCAGGG
rnacentral:rRNA from 1 species